GUUUGUGAUUGGUGAACUCCUCCUGCCUCUUUGCCAUCUGCAGUGUCUUCUGUCAGAGAAGGAAGUCCCCCUUGCAAAAAGUUCCAUCCAUCAGAGCUCUGAUACAGCUUCACCAUGAAGGUCCUCCUGCUUGCCACUGUUGUGCUACUGAUGAGUCUGACUCUGGCUGCUGACAAUGCUGAGAACCCAGCAAAACCUUCCGAAAAUACUACGUCUGCACCAUCUAGCCAAGCCAUGUUCCUUGGUGGUCCAGCUUCCUUUCUGCUACCACUCCUGAUGGCUGCAACUCAUCUCUUCUGAGUGUACUGAACCUGAAGGUGUCACUCCUCAGAGGGCGAAUCCAAGCUGCCCAGUGUGCCUUCAGAGGAACCUUCCCUCCGCUGCUAACAGCCUCACCUCUCCUCUAGCUGCAAACUACCCACAGUGCUGUGCCAUGCACAAAUAUCCACUGUCUAAAGGCUUCUUGGCUUCACCUUCAGCAUAAUAGUUCCUUUAUCUGCGGAAUGAGAAGAAAACUAGGAGGACUUGCUGAACCUGAUUCAGGUGUGUGGGCUCAUGUUCAGAUGGUCUGCAAUGCAGAUGACAUUCAGAGAGGGAGCCUGUGCAAACACAGUCGCCAACGCAGAAGGUCUAGUAUGCAUCUCCACAAAGACAUUUUGGUGCUCCAGAGGAUUACUCGGGUAUCGCCUACCCGUGUGCACUCAUUAACAAGAGGCACAAAUCCUCCAGGAUGUUUGCUUGGGCACACCCUCUAGGAACAAAUGGGGCUUGUGCGUUAACAGUGGUGGCUGGCAGUGGAAUCUGCUCGGGGUUUUUGUCCAAACCUUCAAGGAGCUGUCCAAAGUGCUUCAGCUCCUUGACAGUUCAGAUAAAAACCCAGAGCGGAUUCCACUGCCCCAGUAACUUGGAGCCACCAACCACCACUGGUGCAUAAGCACAGCAAGGCUCUUGUGCAUCUUCCAUUCAUUUCUGUUAGGAGAAUGUCUUCAGCCAUCAUGGCUCCAAUAUGCCUCCCAGUCUGCCACCUUCAACAGGUACCCCAAAUCUGUCAUCCAAGCUCUCAUCGUGAGAAGACCGCCUGCCUCUUGUUUUUGUAAGCCUAUCAGUUAAUGCUGGGCUAUGCCAUGUGAAGCAUCCUCCCAGCUAAAGAAACAUUUGGAGAAGCGUGUAGACCAGAGGCUGCUUCCUGGCCUUUGGGAAGUUCCUUCUUGAGCUGCAGCCCAUUCAGGUGGAGAAUAUCAACGCUUUGAACCGGCAGACCUCAAACCUCAAAACAUCAGCUGAAGAUGAUUCAAGAAGGCGCAAUGAAAACAAUGCAAGAUGCAAAAGUGUCUGUAAAUGCUCUGCUUUUGUCUCCUGUAAUCCCCAAGCAGGUUGGGUCAGUGAAUGAAAUAAAAGCUUCUUGGCUGGCAA